rnacentral:rRNA from 1 species
UUUGACCUCAAAUCAGGUAGGACUACCCGCUGAACUUAAGCAUAUCAAUAAGCGGAGGAAAAGAAACUAACAAGGAUUCCCCUAGUAACUGCGAGUGAAGCGGGAAAAGCUCAAAUUUGAAAUCUGGCAGUCUUUUUUUUCUUCUUUGGCUGUCCGAGUUGUAAUCUAGAGAAGUGCUUACCUGCACUGGACCAUGUAUAAGUCUCCUGGAAUGGAGCGUCACAGAGGGUGAGAAUCCCGUCUUUGACAUGGACUGCCAGUGUGUUGUGGUGUGCUCUCAAAGAGUCGAGUUGUUUGGGAAUGCAGCUCUAAAUGGGUGGUAAACUCCAUCUAAAGCUAAAUAUUGGCGAGAGACCGAUAGUGAACAAGUACCGUGAGGGAAAGAUGAAAAGGACUUUGGAAAGAGAGUUAAACAGUAUGUGAAAUUGUUGAAAGGGAAACGCUUGAAGUCAGUUAUGUUGGCUAGGGAUCAACCUAGCUAUUUUUUGCUGGAUGAAUUUCCUAGUCUGACAGGCCAACAUCAGUCUUGACUGCUGGAAAAGAGCAGGGGGAAUGUGGCACCUUUGGGUGUGUUAUAGCCCUUUGUCAUAUGUGGCAGUUGGGACUGAGGAAUGCAGUGUGCCGUGAGGCUGGGUCCUUGACCACGUUCACACUUAGGAUGUUGGCUUUUAAUGGCUUCAAUCGACCCGUCUUGAAACACGGACCAAGGAGUCUAACAUGCCUGCAAGUGUUUGGGUGGGGAAAACCCUUGUGCACAAUGAAAGUGAAAGUUGAGAUCCCUGUCAUGGGGAGCAUCGACGCCCGGACCUGAGCUUUUAGCAAUGGAUCCGCGGUAGAGCAUGCAUGUUGGGACCCGAAAGAUGGUGAACUAUGCCUGAAUAGGGCAAAGCCAGAGGAAACUCUGGUGGAGGCUCGUAGCGAUUCUGACGUGCAAAUCGAUCGUCAAAUUUGGGUAUAGGGGCGAAAGACUAAUCGAACCAUCUAGUAGCUGG